GUGGCUGUAGUUUAGUGGUAAGAAUUCCACAUUGUGGUCGUGGAGACAAAUCCAGCAGCCACA
rnacentral:tRNA from 1 species